GUGGUCUGUGGCAAAAAAAAAAAAAAGAGCCCACUCAGAUAUAUUUACCCAUAAGCUGCAUCUACUCCUGUAAGUAGUUUAUAAUUAAGUUUUUCUUAAGUAGAAGGCUCAUUAUCUUCGAGUACUGGUACUUGAAUCAAGGAAGCUAUUAUCAUUCCUGGUGCACGACUGCUGAGCACCUCUCCACCUGGUAAAGCAGUGGCCUUCCUGGCUGCAGAGAAAAAGCGACACCCCUGAGAUCAAAGGAAUCAGAGCUCAGCUUUACGUUCCAAACAGAAUUGAAGUCCAUAAUGAAGAUCAUAAUCCUGAAAGCUUUGUUGACUGACAAAGGUAUUUUCUAAACUCAGAAACCUUCCUUUUAAAUAAGAAGAAGCAAAGUCUGGGUCACAGAAAAGAGCAGAAUUUGGAUAAGGGGAGAACAUUUGAAAGAGGAAAAGGAGAGAGGGCAAAGGACGAGAUGCAAAUGUCCUGGCUUGUCCUGUGGGGUGGAAACUUCCAGAAGAGGCAUAAGCAGCGUAUCUUAGGUUUUGAGCAAACUGAGACACCACAGGUUCUAUGCCAGUGGAGACUGACUACAGGGCGCUCAGAGAAGUCCCACACUGGCCCACGGUCCUAUUUUGGCUGAGCAGGCAAGCAGGAGACCAGCUUCAUUCAAGUGGAGAAUACAUUCUACAUGCCCCAUGCAGGGCUCCUGGAGGACCCACAGGUGCCACAGUAGGUGAAGUGCUAAGACCACUCGUAGACCAACAAAAUGCUGAGAUCAGAAGAGGAGGCCAGAGAGCAUGUAAGGCCUUAUGGCUGAAGACUGAAGCACUGACUCACAUCCAACAUUCCAGCAAGGACCCACUGCUCCUCAGAAUUGUGGUUAGAGGUGGCCCGCAGCACCUUCAGGCUGAGGGCACCUAAUAGCUGGCAGGGGGAGCCCAGAGGACCUGCACCUAUACCAGGAGAGAGGAGAUACAGCCCUGAGAGGCAACAUAACUUUGGAUUCACAAUUUGCCAAUUGACAGUUUGAAACUAUGGUAGAAGAUACCGAGUUAAACUUCAGAAGGGACAAGAUGGGGGAUGGUCCUGAGCAGGAUGGACGUAGUUGGACUGUGAAAAUGAAUGAAGAAGAUGUCUGAAAAGUGUUUUGGAUUCCUUGAAGGAAAAGUAUAUAAAAGGAUGUGACAUCCUGCGUGGCCUCAGGACCCCACCAACAGGAAAAUCCUUACCAGAUGUGGCCCCUGGACUGUGGACAUGCAAACUGAAUGAUCAAGAAGGGUUGAAGGCAACAUGCUAAUGAAACUGGGCUUUUCUCAUUGGUGACGAGCAAGGGAGAUGAGAGCCCAUUAGCUGUGUGGAGAAUCUCUCUGGUACGGUCUGGGAGAUGGAACAUCAGAGACCUGAACCUGGAACAAGGCAAUGGUGUGAAAGGAAAGUGAUCAAAGACAUCACUUCCUGCCCCCAAGAAACUCCUAGAUUACUGAAGAGAGACAGUGACAAGAUAAUAUGGUCAGGGCAAUGGUGUAUACCUGCAGAGCGUGGUAUGGAACAAAGGAAACCACUGUGUGGGGGCCACCAGGAGGCUGCCACGCUGACUGCACUCCUAAGGCUCUUGAGGACAGAGACCGUAUGUUUUCAUUUAAGUUUCCCUCAGCUCCAAGGAAGGUUAGGAGAGUGAAGUAGAGGCAAAUCCAGGUUCUGUAGAGCUCCAAUAGAAGUACAGAACUACUAAUACAUAAUUAGAUAUAAGGAUGAAUGUGUGAGAAAAGAAAUCGGAGCAAACUAGAGCCUUGGAGAGUCCCAUCCCUUUAAUCUUAGGUCUCUUUAGAUACUUCAUCGAGUCUCAGGUGGGGCACAAUGGUGGCACAGCUGGACCCACAUGGGAAAGGUGCUGGUGUGUGUGCUGGGAUCUCCCUGAGCACCACAGUGCAUGCCCACAUGCCUGUGAUCCAGGCUGAUGGAGACUUGGGGGCAUUAUGCUGUGAAGGCCCUGAUGGGGAAGCCUCGCUCUCUGACUCUCACCGUAUCUCUCAUGGUAAAGAAUAAAUCAAUUUAAGAAAACGUAACACUUACAGAGAAGCACUUCCAGUUGCUGACUAUUUUGUUUCCCAGAACACUUUACAACACAGCAGCCAUUUACACUCCAGGUACCCAUAUGAAUGAGGGGCCUCAGGCUUCAGUCUUAAGAGUUUAGGGACGGAGCCAGCAGAUGGCAUAGCAGUUACAUCACUGGACUCCCAUAUUGCUGACUAUGGUUCGAGUCUCUGACACGGUGGCUUGCAACUCUCGCCUGGUAUGUGUGUGCAUGCUCAAGAUCCUGGGAGGAGAAUGGAA